GUGCUCGCUUCGGCAGCACAUAUACUAAAGUUGGAAUGAUACAGAGAAGAUUGCCAUGGCCCCUGCACACAGAUGACAGACGUGCAAAUUUGUGAAGCAUUCCAAAAAGAA